GUGGCCUGGUGCGCAGGCGCGCGCGGGGAGCCACCCCGCCCCUUCCCGCCGCGCGUGCGCGCUGUCCGAGCGGGCCGGCCACACCCCCUUCCCCUGAGGCUCCCGGCUCGGGGGCCUCGGUCUGGGGGUGGGAACCCUGGGCUUGGGUCCGCGGGGUCGGCGUCCCUCCCGAGGGGCCCAGGUCCGCACGCCCACCGUGGCCACCGCCACCGUGAGCCACAGCGGCUGCACCGAGGCCCCGCACCGGCCCAGGGUGCAGCAGUGGGCGUUCCCGCGGCGCCGGGGCUGCAGGAACCGAGCUUGGGACACGCCACAGGCCUGCUCCCCGGCCACCCCUCCGCGGGUCAGAGACUGCCGCCGUGCUGGGAGCUGACCCCCGGCUCGCACACCCGCGCUCGCGAGAUGCCCGGGUCCCACCCUCCGCGAUGCACAUGUCCGGGGAUCAGGACGAGGUGAAGGUUCUCCUGGGGUAAAACCUUGUUUCUUUGCCUUUGACUUCGCAAAAGCCCCGGAAACUGAUAAAUUGUUUACUGCGUUAUUCAUGACCGUUGGCCCAGGAAGGUAUUUUGUAGAAUCAUUUAUAGGGUUUAUAUUCUAUGAUCCGGUAGAAAGAGAAAGAAGACGCUGAUUGUGGUCUGGCCGCUCAGUUAAGAACGUUCUCAGGACAGCAGGACCAGACGUGUGUCUCGAUUUCAGGGAAGAGCUACACCGCCGGUAUAGACCCCCACGUGGGCGAGAGGGGCGGGAUGGCCUCCAGGCACCUGACCAGCAUCACGGGCUAAGCAAUGUGAAAGCGAUCCCUACCGGUAACGUCUGCUAGUAUGUCUGGUCAGAGAGACCAGAGACGGUGUGGAGGGGUGUGCCUUGAGGCUCCUUCCCUGAGUCUGUACUGAUGAACACUGUCUCUUAGUUCCUGGCUUAAGAAAACAGGUUAAGACACACCAGGGGAAGCAACAAAUGACAGAUGUAAGACCAAGCAAGAUGAGCGUGGCCAGCUGCAGUGCUAAGCUAAGACUAACAAAAAGGAACUUUGCUGGGUUUACUGUUAAGUCCCAUGUUUAAGUUCCAAGAAAACACCUGCUUCAGUUCCGAGGUGGGAAGCCCGACUUGGCAGUCGCUCAAGUCAGAACGCUGGAAGAUGGAUCAUGGACAGGUAUCAGGAUGUCAGACGGUGGAAGUGGAAGAACUAGAAAAGGAGCCCUGACUUGCAUGGGGUUAUUAAAGGAAUGGCAGUGUUUCAGCACCUGCUCCGUGGAAGGCGCCAUUACUGGAGGCGUCCAGUAGGUGCCUCAGGGCGUCCUUGUCAUCGGCGUUGAUGGCGUAGACCAGGGCCGAAGCCCCCGUGCGGUCCUCGAGGCUGGGGUCCGCGCCGUUCUCCAGAAGCAGGGACACCACGUCGCCCCCCGCCCUCCGGAUGCAGGCGUGGAUGAGCGCCGUCUUGCCGGACUUGUCCUGGAUGUUGGGGUCUGCCCUCUGGUCCAGCAGGAGGAGCCUGGUCAGCCUGAGCCUCCCCAGCCACACCGCCUUCAGGAGGGAGUUCCCAUCCGUCCUUAGCUCCGUGUCGUCAUCCAUCACCCCGGCCUCGGCAGUGCCUCCGGGCCACCACGGCGAUCAGACCUAGCGAGGGAGAAGGGAGAGGGAUGACGUGUGCUCUGCAGGCGGCCAGAGUGCUGUGGCUGGUGCGGGGCCGCGUGCCGCCGGAUCCCACCAGGUUACCCAGCUCGUCCGUAUCCGUCUGUCGUGUGUGUGGGGUCGGGGGACGGUGGCCGCCCCUCACAGAGCCAGCACAGAGGUCAAACAAGAGCACAUACGAGAACCCUUCCCCACGGCGAAGCCGCAGACACAAGCCCAGUGCGUGGUAAGCAAGACAGAUGGCCGUCACUUACCUCAAAU